rnacentral:sRNA from 1 species
AAUAUCUGAGAGAUAUCAUAUGCACAAUAAUCAAGUACAGUGUAUCAAAUAUCGAAUGGUGACUGCGUUUUGCGGUACGGGAGAAGUGCGGUGUGGUUCAAAUAGUAACAAAAAUAUAUAGAUAUAUAUGUAUAUGCAGAGAUUUUGAUACUGUUACAGCACUGUUGCGGUGCGGUUUUGGGUGCGAUUUUGGUUACCAUUCACAGCAUAUGUAUAUUCAACUGCAGACACUAUUAUCAGAUGUCAUUUCUAACAAAAAAGUAAAGAUAAACAGAAAGAAUCACUUGGUGAUCAUAUUAUAUUACUCCUUCUACUACCAAAGAAGAAAUAAACAGUUACUACCAAAAACAAAAGUUUAAAAGAAAAUUGAAGCUAGGUGCAC